ensembl:lncRNA LINC00313 long intergenic non-protein coding RNA 313
ACUCCCUGCCUGGAUCCGGCCAAGUGCGGGGGACCUUGGCCAGCAUCCUAGAGAGCUGGCGCACCUCCUGGGCCUGACGCGGGCUUCCUGGAUUGCAUAAAGGCUCCUUCUCCUUACAUAGCCAGGGCAAAGGUGCAUGACAACUCUGAGCAAGUCAAAACAACCGUCAGCAGCGGGAAACCUCGAUGAACAAACACCGGGAGAGUGUUUCUGCAGAUCCUGCUUUGUGACUUCGAGUGAAGUGUGGAAGCGCUGGAAGCACUUAGACCCUGCCUGUGCCGCAGACCCCUGGGAGGCACCAACACCCCGGAUCGAGAAGCCCGAUGGGAAAGAAUGUCUGGGAAGGACGUCAUGCCCGAGGCUUGCGUGACAGUUUCCACUCACAGUGCGCUCACUCUGAACCUCUGUGCACACGAUGGGCCUGCAUCUCUUCCCACUAUCUGCUAGGAAACACGAGGCUUCUGGGUGCCAAGCUCAGGCUAAGGGGAUUUCUGACGGGCUGGACGUCUGGGCUUCAGCCCUGAAAUAAGAGUUUUGAGAAGGAAGAGGGCAGCGCUGGAACCCUCACCCGUCUUUUAAUGAAGGGAUUUGGCUAAGAAGAAAUGCCAAGUACUUCCGCAGGUCAUCCUGAGGUCAGGAUGUGGUCGGUGUGUCUGUCCCUGAGCAGUCAGACCUGAUGGUGGCUGGAGCUCCGGAAAGCUCGGGACCCCUCUAGCGUCCUAGGCCUUCUGUUUUCCUUCCUGCUCCAGGGGGCAGGACUGGCAGAUUCAAGGAAGCUUUCAAGAGGGGUUAGAAAGAAGGGGUGUGCUCCAAUCUGCCAGCCUGAUGUCCUUCAUGGGACCACAGGCCAGGAACUGAGGUUCCCUGCGAGGGGUGGAUGCUGCGUCUGUGAGCCUCCCCACCUUCUUGAAGGCAAGAGCGCCCAGAGGUGUUCGCUUUUGGUGUCGGCCUUUGAGCUGGAGCCUGGAGCUGUUUCUCUGAAUUCCUUCUGCUUGUUUCCUUGUGCUCUUGCCUGGGAAGAAUGAAAUGAAAAGAAAAUGCAAAGCCCAGAACCUGGCAGAGAUGGGAUGCCCCAGGCCGGAGUGGGCAGGGCGGCGCUCUCAGCCCACUCUCAGCACAAACGCUGCCCCGUUCACCUCUCCGCGCUUGUUGCCAGAGCGUGUCAAAGACCCCGAAGAAUGAAAUGACUUCGGAAGAGGAGGCCACACACCCGUGAAACAAGCCGGAUCUGCAGCGGAACAUUCUUUACGUGUUUUGGGACAUUUCAAAGACUGAUGGCGUGCUGCCUUUGUGAUGUGUGAUCUGAAGAUUCCAUCAAAGAAAGUGUGUCCUUUGUGUGAAA